UACGUAGGGUGCAAGCGUUUGUCCGGAAUUAUUGGGCGUAAAGAGCUCGUAGGCGGUCAGUCGCGUCUGCUGUGAAAACUCGGGGCUUAACUCCGGGCCUGCAGUGGGUACGGGCUGACUAGAGUGCGGUAGGGGGAGACUGGAAUUCCUGGUGUAGCGGUGAAAUGCGCAGAUAUCAGGAGGAACACCGGUGGCGAAGGCGGGUCUCUGGGCCGUAACUGACGCUGAGGGAGCGAAAAGCGUGGGGGAGCGAACAGG
rnacentral:rRNA from 1 species